AACGCUCUUCACGAGCAUGUUAAGUAGCUGGUGAGUAACACCCGUCUUUCCGCACUUCUUGCCAGGCGUGGCCGCACAGACACGGAACCAGCUCCUUAAAACGGGCGCUUCGGAAGUCGGAGCUUUCACCGAACCCACUAUUCUGCCUGAACCUCUGAAGUAUUUUCACAAGGUUCUGCCACCAUUCCUGUGACCUAAUUCCACAGCAUUUUCAUCACCGACAGAGGAGACCACCACUCGCGUUCCGCCCGCCCAGCUCUCGGCAACCACCAGGCCACCUCUGUCUCUAGGUCCGCCUGUUCUGGACUCUCACUCGGGCACCGUACAGCAUCUGUUCCCUCGCAUCUGUCUUACGUCACUCGGCACGUCUUUGAGGGGCGCCACCCCGUAGCGUGCGUCAGCUGGCGCUCCUGUGGAUGGCUGAAUAACCCCCCGUGGGCAGGCAGCCCACGUUUGCUCUGCCCAUUCAGCAGCUGAUGGGCGUUUGGGUUGUUCCCACUUCCCGGCUCGGACCGCCAGUGCUGCUGUGCGUGCGCUGCACGUGCGCACGUCGAUGCACAGGUUUGAUGUGCACGCGCGUCUGCAGCUCUCCUGGGUCUGAACUAGGAGGGGGCUUUCUGGGUCACAUGGCACAUCUAUGUCGGACUUUCUGAGGAGGCAUCACACUGUUUCCCGUAGCGGCUGCCCCAUUCCACAUUCUUACCAGUAAAAGCUUUAAAAUUC